rnacentral:lncRNA from 1 species
CCGACUUCGUCCAGGUGAAUAGGGUCUAAUUAGGUUUGCUUGUUCAGCGAUUGUUCGAGUUCACGCUGUGAAGAUUAUGCCUAAAGUGAGAGUAACUUAAACUGACGAUGUCAUUUAAACUGAUGAUGUCGUGACUUCUUUGUUAAAUGUGAAACAUCAGAUAUUUAGAAGUUUAACGUGGUAUUAUAAGAAACAGUUGACAGAAAAAUAGAAAUGGCUGAUAACCAAUAGUAGUUAAAAGAUGCAAACAACAAUAUGUUAAUGUAAUGGAACAAAGUGCUACACAAACUUUAAAUAAGAAUUAAAAAAAAACUUAAUUGCUUCCAAAAACAAAUUACAAAAUUACACGACAGAAAAGAAAAAUAUUGAGAUUUAAUCAUAUUGGGUACAUUCCAUGAUUACCAAUUGGCAAUAAAGGUAUUUACUCACAUACAAUAUGGGUUGCAAGUCGCCAGUUAGAUUAAACUAAACUAUGAAACUGAAAAAAAGAUUCCAGGAAAAUUGAACGUUACUUUCUCAAAUGGGCUGUCUGUGUGUGAUAUAUCAAACAGACUUUUAAUUAAAAGUCAAGUUUAAAUUUAAAAAAUGUAGAUUUCUGUUUUUCAAUUCUUUCUUGUCUUCUGGUUUCAAGAACUUUCUUUAAUUACUCAUAUUCAGUUACCAAAGAAAGAAUCAGAUCCACACAGCUCUUUGUGCAAAACCUAGUUGGAAUACAAACAGUGAACAAAAAGUUUUCAAUAAUAUGGUCAAUAAGAUGAUUUACAAUCAACCUUUGGGUCUUUUUUUGGAUGUUUUCAAAAAGAUAUUUUUCCGGUAUAAAUCUA